rnacentral:lncRNA from 1 species
GAGCCACAUGUGUCCAGGUGCAGGUGAGAUGGACGGGCCUGGCUGUGGUCAUGGCUGCGGCUGGGAGGAGCUGAGCCAGUACGCACUGGGAAGCCUACAGAGCGCCACCUGACCCACCUUACAGGAGACAGUCUUGAAGAAGGCCUGUUAUCUUCAGCAGGUCACAGAGUGGUUAUCCCCAUGGGUGACCCCCAUUGCAACUGGCCAUCUGAAAAGUGCCUCUGGGAUCUGCUGCUUUCCAGAGACCUGGACCAGCCGAGGAGUGGAGAAUGAAAAGGAUGCUUGGGGAGGGACAACCAGGUUCAGUCCAGAGCCUGCCUCCUCCUGCCUUCUAGAGAAGGGCUGGGGUCCUGGGCUCUCCCUCUAGUACCUCAGAGCAGGGGCCUGGUGCCUCCUGUGGAGGAAGACAGCCAUACAUCCACCCUCAGCCCCCAGCUCCCAGCCCCCCACCGCUAGGCUUGGCCUGGGGCUGGCUGCAUCUCCUGUGCAUGCAGACCACCCAGGCCACAUCUGACCCCUUAGAAAUAAACAUGGAUUGAAAGGUCUCCUGUUGGAAUUCCCACUGUGGUGUAGUGGGUUAAGAAUUUGAGUUUAGGAGUUCCCGUCGUGGAACAGUGGAAACAAAUCUGAUUAGGAACUGUGAUGUUGUGGGUUUGAUCCCUGGCCUUAUUCAGUGGGUUAAGGAUUUGGCAUUGCCAUGAGCUGUGGUGUAGGGCGAAGACUCAGCUUGGAUCCUUUGUUGCUAUGGCUGCAGCAUAGGCCGGCAGCUGUAGCUCCAACUUGACCCCUAGCCUGGGAACCUCCAUAUGCCGGGUGCGGCCCUAAAAAAAAAAAAAAAAGAAUCUGAGUUUAGGAGUUCCUGUGAGGAUCAGCGGAAAGGAAUCUGACUAGCAUUCAUCAGGAUGCAGGUUCGAUCUCUGGUCUCAGUGGCUUAAGGAUCUAGUGUCGCUGUGAGCUGUGGCAUAGGUCGCAGACGCUCCUGGGAUCUGGUGUGGCUGUGGCUGUGACACAGGCUGGCGGCUACAGCUGCAAUUCAACCUGUAGCCUGGGAACCUCCCUAUCUCCCUAUGCUGUGGGUACGGCCCUAAAAAAAAAAAAAAAAGAAUCUGAGUUUAGUGGCUGGGGUCACCUCAGAGGUACAGGUUCAAUCCUUGGCCCAGCACGGUGGGUUAAAGGAUCUGGCAUUGCCACAGCUGCAGCAUAGGGUUGCAACUGUGGCUUGGAUUCAAUCCCUGGCCCAGGAACUUCCAUGUACCCUAAAGUGUGGCCAUAAAAUAAAAUAAAAUCUCAAAAAUUGUAAAUCAUAAAUAAAUUCAGAUGUAGAAUAAUGGAAAUAAAGACAAAAAUAAAUAUGACCUAAUUAAAAAAAAAAAAGGAGGGAGUUCCCAUCAUGGUUCAGCAGAAAUGAAUCUGACUAGCAUCCAGGAAGACGCAGGUUCAACCCCUGGCCUCGCUUAGUGGGUUAAGGAUGUGGCGUUGCCUUGAGCUGUGGUGUAGGUUGCAGAUGCGGCUUGGAUCUGGUGUUGCUGUGGCUGAGGAGUAGGCCAGCGGCUACAGCUCCUAUUCACCUCCUAGCCUGGGAACCUCCAUAUGCCCCAGGUAUGGCCCUUAAAAAAAAAAGGAGUUCCAGUUGUGGCUCAGCAGUAAGAACCCAGCUGAUAUCCUUGAGGACAUGGGUUCUAUACCUGGCCUCGCUCAGUGGGUUAAGGAUCCAGCGUUGCCAUUUGCUGUGGUAUAGGUUGCAGAUACUGUCUGGAUCUGGCAUGGCUGUGGCUGUGGUAUAGGGCAGCAGCUGCAGCUCUGAUUGGACCCCUAGCCUGGAACUUCCAUACGCUGCAGUGAGGCCCUAAAAAGACAAAAAA